rnacentral:misc_RNA from 1 species
AAGACUAUAGACCUGCGGAGUACCUGCGGCAGGAUCAUUAGUGAACGCCCUCACGGGCUUAUAACUAUUCCAAACCUCUGUGAACCGUGCCCUUCGGGGCUAUUUUACAAACAUGGUGUAAUGAACGUCAUAUAUCAUAACAAAACAAAACUUUUAACAAUGGAUCUCU